rnacentral:rRNA from 2 species
AGGUCAGGCAAGAACACCCGCUGAACUUAAGCAUAUC